rnacentral:rRNA from 1 species
AUGAUUGCCACUGUAACUCUGAACCCUUUAGUGGCUGACCGUCGUGUUGGACGUAUCGACAACAAGCCGAUCUCGGCAAGAUCAGCAUAUGCUUCUGUGUUUGCAGCUAGGCCGGAGGACAGGUACGCCACGGCUACUUGGAAGAACUAUGCUCCAAAUAGGUGUCGGUUGUUCACUUGGCUAGCCUUCCGGGACAGACUAUUUACAAAUGAUCGGCGUUUCCGGCAUGGGAUGUCAAGCUCCGAUACUUGCCCAUUUUGCGAUGAGCCAGAAACCACAAGUCACUUACUGUUGAACUGCCACUCCAUCAAGUUGCUUUGGGACAAUCUUCUUCUUCUUCGUCCUCCAGAAGUCGAACAUAUUCAAGAUAUUUGGUCUAACCCCUCAAUUGAUAAAGUUCGCUCUACAGUCAUCAUUGCCAUUCUUUGGUCUAUUUGA